UGCGUAGGUGGUUAGGUAAGACCUGUGGGAAAGACCUGGGCUUAACCCAGGAAGGUCGCAGGUGACUGCCUGGCUAGAGGGCGGGAGAGGAGCGCGGAAUUCCCGGUGUAGCGGUGAAAUGCGUAGAGAUCGGGAGGAAGGCCGGUGGCGAAGGCGGCGCUCUGGAACGUUCCUGACACUGAGGCACGAAAGCGUGGGGAGCAAAACAGGAUUAGAUACCCUGGUAGUCCACGCCCUAAACGAUGGGUACUAAGUGUCGGCGGGUUACCGCCGGUGCCGCACCUAACGGAGUAAGUACCCCGCCUGGGGAGUACGGCCGCAAGGUUGAA
rnacentral:rRNA from 1 species